CGGACGGGUGAGUAACACGUGGAUAACCUACCUAUAAGACUGGGAUAACUUCGGGAAACCGGAGCUAAUACCGGAUAAUAUAUUGAACCGCAUGGUUCAAUAGUGAAAGACGGUUUUGCUGUCACUUAUAGAUGGAUCCGCGCCGCAUUAGCUAGUUGGUAAGGUAACGGCUUACCAAGGCAACGAUGCGUAGCCGACCUGAGAUGGUGAUCGGCCACACUGGAACUGAGACACGGUCCAG
rnacentral:rRNA from 1 species